UCGAACGGACCUUCGGGUUAGUGGCGGACGGCUGAGUAACGCGUAGGUAACCUGCCCAGUGGUGGGGAAUAACUCGCCGAAAGGCGGGCUAAUACCGCAUAAGUUCCCGGUCUGAGAUGGCCGGGAGGAAAGCAUUUAUGCGCCACUGGAGGGACCUGCGUCCUAUCAGGUAGUUGGUGGGGUAAUGGCCUACCAAGCCGAUGACGGGUAGCUGGUCUGAGAGGACGAUCAGCCAGAAGGGGACUGAGACACGGCCCCUACUCCUACGGGAGGCAGCAGCGAGGAAUCUUGGGCAAUGGGCGAAAGCCUGACCCAGCGACGCCGCGUGAGGGAUGAAGGCCUUCGGGUCGUAAACCUCUUUUGUGAGGGAAGAAGUUCUGACGGUACCUCACGAAUAGGCCACGGCUAACUACGUGCCAGCAGCCGCGGUAAUACGUAGGUGGCGAGCGUUGUCCGGAUUUACUGGGCGUAAAGGGCUUGUAGGCGGUUCGUUAAGUCCGGUGUGAAAUCUCCCGGCUCAACUGGGAGGGGUCAUCGGAUACUGGCGGACUUGAGGUGGGCAGAGGAAAGCGGAA
rnacentral:rRNA from 1 species